rnacentral:rRNA from 1 species
GACAGAGGGCGCGAGCGUUGUUCGGAUUUACUGGGCGUAAAGGGCGCGUAGGCGGCCACCGCAAGUCGGUUGUGAAAUCUCUGGGCUUAACCCAGAAAGGUCAACCGAUACUGCGGGGCUAGAGUGCAGAAGGGGCAACUGGAAUUCUCGGUGUAGCGGUGAAAUGCGUAGAUAUCGAGAGGAACACCUGCGGCGAAGGCGGGUUGCUGGGCUGACACUGACGCUGAAGCGCGAAAGCUAGGGGAGCGAACGGG